rnacentral:lncRNA from 1 species
CUCUUCCUGUGUGGAACCUGGGAAUCAAGUAGCCGGCUUGCCUUGCGGAGGAUCCUGCUUCCCCCUCCUCCACCCCAUUUUUUUCCUUUCACCCAGUAAAACCCUGUUUAACUCACCCUUCAAACCGUCUGCGAGGCUACGUUUUCGUGGCCACGGGACGGACAAGGACCCCAUCUUUAGCUGAACUACGGAAAAGCCCUGCAACACCACCAUCUCAUCGCUGACUUGGAAAUAAGCUAGCAGUGGCUGUGUCAGCAAGACCACCACAUGCAGCAAGGGUGGCCACUUCCAGCUAGCUCCUGCAUCCACAGCUGCCUCGCCCCUAUUGGCUACUGCCAUCCAUGUAACAGACUCUUGGGAAAUAUGCUCGGCUGAAAAACUGCAUUUCCCAACUCAAGACCUAAGAGGUGGUCAGGAGAUACAAGCAGGAGUCCUUGGAUGAGUCUUCAAGUAUUUGAAGACUGGCUGGCCAUCCUGCACACCCUGAAUCUUCACUCCUCUGGCUGCGCAUCUGGAGUGACGGAGCCCCUCCCUCGCUGUGCUUCAGCUUGUUCCUUCCCUUCUUCAGUGGGACUCCAAGGAACGAAGGUCAUAUUGCAAGUACACUUCUGUUUUUGUGGCCAUCCUCUGAUACAACCAUGUUCGGCAGGAGUCACUUGGCAACUUUCAGCUGGUGGAUGGACUGAUCUGGAGGAUCUGAGAUUGUUUCACUCACAUGCCCAGUGCCUUGCAAGGCUGGCUGAAGGGCUGGGAUCAGUGGGGCCUGGGAGGCAGAGAGCUCACCUACAGCGUCUCCAGCGUGGCAACCCCAGGGCAUCAGAACUUCUCACGUGGCACCUCAGGACUCCAGGAGCGACUGCUGCCACAAUCCAGGAGGCACUGUAUGGCCUCUGUGACUUGGCCUCAGAAGUCACACCAUGUCACAACCUUUGCACUUUGUUGGCCGAGGCAGUCACAAGGCUGCCCAGAUUCAAGGAGAGGAGACAUAGACUCUACCUCUUAGAUGGAAGAGGCAUCAAAGAAUUUGCAGCCAUUUUUAAAACAGCCAGUUUUCUUUGACUGCAUGCUUUUAUUUUCCCCUGUAAUCAUUCUCAGAGUGAGAUCUCUAUAUAGUAGGUGCUGUCAAAUGACACGGGGGAGUGUCUUUCUCAGGUCUCUUACUGGGAGGUACAGCACUGGUGUAGAUGGGUCUUUCCUCCCUGCUGUGUGUAGAAGGCUGUCACCUGGGCUGCACCAUUCUGGAUGCCACACUAUUACUGACCCAGUCUAAGACAUGAUUAACCCCUUUGGAGACAAUGUAACAUUGCCGACCCACAUCAAGCUCACUGUAUACUACAGUCUCAGCUCUUCUUCUUGCUUGCUUGGAAGUACCUGCCCUACCUGUCAGCUGCUAGUGACCCCCGACCCAUGAACAGUCCAUACCACAGUCUUCUCAUGCUCAACACCAAGCUCAUUUGAUUUCAGUUGGUACAUUUUUGUUCUUCCUCUUUAUGAGGUUCCUCAAAUCCAGGCCUGGGGAAGGCAUCUCUCUGCUGCUCCAUGACCGUCCAUGAGUCAUGGAGAGUGGCCCUGUGAUCUCAGAGGGGUUUUCAAAACCAGAGUGUGUUUGCCAACAAAAAUGAUCAACAUUGAUUGGAGGGCUGGAGAAGGAGUUAUAGAGUCUGGAAAGUGAGCCAGCUAAAUCUUCAUCUUCGAAAAUGGAGAGGUUGUAGAUAAUGUCUGAAGUUGACAGAGCAAGGAAGGACAUUCUAUAAACAUAUUACUGUAUUUGGAGUUAUGCAGGUAGCCACUGAAAAACUAAGAACAGAAAUGCUUCAAACUGGUUGCCUCUGGAAAGAGAGCUGGGAGGAAGAGUGGGCUGGGAGAGACCAGCUCUCCUCAUGCUUAGCCGUGCAGUGCAAUGUAGUAUUUUACCUUGUGCAUGGAUUUUGUAAUAAGAAAUAGCGAUGUGCAUUUGGAUAUUAAAAACAUUACACAACAAUUUAGAGUGAGGCGUGCCAUUUAAAAGGUCUGAUUAGAGGUUGCGGUUUGUCAUUACAUUUUAUAGAGGGUUGUCUUCUUGCUUUGGGUUUAAGCUCUGUUUUCAUUAUUUUAAUUUGUUUUUUAGAAAAUCACAAAAUUGGGACAAAACCAGGAGAGAGUUGAAGACAAUGGGGGAAGGGGGAGAAAAGCUCCCCAGUGAAUUCAGCUGCCCUUUCUGUACCACUCUAUGUACUUUGAUUUUAUGUCCUUCUGGAAAAAUUAAAUUGGAACUCCCUUUA